GGGUGACGCCGACGGCAUCGGCGAUCUUCUCGACGCCGGCCUGAAGGGCGGACCUGGAGCUCUGGUCAAAGGCGAUGUCCUUGGCUCGGGCGCGCACCACGAACCGUCUCGGCUCCGGCGCCGCUCUCGGUCUCCUCAGAUCCUGCUGAAUCAGCUGUGGAGGGGAGGGGCGGAGGGUGAAGGCGGUGGAGACGGCGUUGGUUGCUGCCAUGGGAGAGGAGGUGGG
rnacentral:misc_RNA from 1 species